GGGUGGUAAUGCCGGAUGCUCCAGUUGGAUGCAUGUUCUUCUGGGAAAGAUUCAUCGGUAUGGGAUGGGGUCGCGUCCUAUCAGCUUGAUGGCGGGGUAACGGCCCACCAUGGCUUCGACGGGUAGCCGGCCUGAGAGGGCGACCGGCCACAUUGGGACUGAGAUACGGCCCAGACUCCUACGGGAGGCAGCAGUGGGGAAUAUUGCACAAUGGGCGCAAGCCUGAUGCAGCGACGCCGCGUGCGGGAUGACGGCCUUCGGGUUGUAAACCGCUUUUGACUGGGAGCAAGCCCUUCGGGGUGAGUGUACCUUUCGAAUAAGCACCGGCUAACUACGUGCCAGCAGCCGCGGUAAUACGUAGGGUGCAAGCGUUAUCCGGAAUUAUUGGGCGUAAAGGGCUCGUAGGCGGUUCGUCGCGUCCGGUGUGAAAGUCCAUCGCUUAACGGUGGAUCCGCGCCGGGUACGGGCGGGCUUGAGUGCGGUAGGGGAGACUGGAAUUCCCGGUGUAACGGUGGAAUGUGUAGAUAUCGGAAAAAAAAC
rnacentral:rRNA from 1 species